CAGUCGCCACGGUAAUACGAAGGGGGCUAGCGUUGUUCGGAAUUACUGGGCGUAAAGGGCGCGUAGGCGGCCAUUCAAGUUAGAUGUGAAAGCCCUGGGCUCAACCUAGGAAUUGCAUUUGAUACUGUUUGGCUUGAGUUCGGGAGAGGUGAGUGGAAUUCCCAGUGUAGAGGUGAAAUUCGUAGAUAUUGGGAAGAACACCAGUGGCGAAGGCGGCUCACUGGACCGACACUGACGCUGAGGCGCGAAAGCGUGGGGAGCAAACAGGAUUAGAUACCCCUGUAGUCCCUGUCUCUUAUAC
rnacentral:rRNA from 1 species